rnacentral:rRNA from 1 species
GGAGGGUGCUAGCGUUGCUCGGAAUUACUGGGCGUAAAGCGCGUGUAGGCGGUCCUAGAAGUUCGGUGUGAAAGCCCUAGGCUCAACCUAGGAAGUGCGCCGGAAACCAUAGGACUAGAGAAUCGGAGGGGAACGUGGAAUUCCCAGUGUAGAGGUGAAAUUCGUAGAUAUUGGGAGGAACACCGGUGGCGAAGGCGACGUUCUGGACGAUUUCUGACGCUGAGACGCGAUAGCGUGGGUAGCAAACAGGAUUAGAUACCCUGGUAGUCCACGCUGUAAACGAUGGAUACUAGGUGUUGGGAGAUUUGACCCCUCUCAGUGCCGACGCAAACGCAUUAAGUAUCCCCGCCUGGGAAGUACGGUCGCAAGGCUG